rnacentral:rRNA from 1 species
GGCGGCCUUCUGGACAGUACUGACGCUGAGAUGCGAAAGCGUGGGGAGCAAACAGGAUUAGAUACCUGGUAGUCACGCUGUAAACGAUGUCGAUUUGGAGUUUGUUGCCUAGAGUGAUGGGCUCCGAAGCUAACGCGAUAAAUCGACCGCCUGGGGAGUACGGCCGCAAGGUUAAAACUCAAAUGAAUUGACGGGGGCCCGCACAAGCGGUGGAGCAUGUGGUUUAAUUCGAUGCAACGCGAAGAACCUUACCUGGUCUUGACAUCCAUAGAAUUCUGCAGAGAUGUGGGAGUGCCUUCGGGAACUAUGAGACAGGUGCUGCAUGGCUGUCGUCAGCUCGUGUUGUGAAAUGUUGGGUUAAGUCCCGCAACGAGCGCAACCCUUAUUCUUUGUUGCCAGCGAUUUGGUCGGGAACUCAAAGGAGACUGCCGUUGAUAAAGCGGAGGAAGGUGGGGACGACGUCAAGUCAUCAUGGCCCUUACGACCAGGGCUACACACGUGCUACAAUGGCGUAUACAAAGGGAAGCGAAGGUGCGAGCUGGAGCGGAUCUCAUAAAGUACGUCUAAGUUCGGAUUGGAGUCUGCAACUCGACUCCAUGAAGUCGGAAUCGCUAGUAAUCGUAGAUCAGAAUGCUACGGUGAAUACGUUCCCGGGCCUUGUACACACCGCCCGUCACACCAUGGGAGUGGGUUGCACCAGAAGUAGAUAGCUUAACCGCGAGGGGGGCGUUUACCACGGUGUGAUUCAUGACUGGGGUGAAGUCGUAACAAGGUAACCA